UCAGAAAUCUAUAAGCAAAGUCGUAGUC
rnacentral:sRNA from 1 species